UGGGGAAUAUUGCACAAUGGGGGAAACCCUGAUGCAGCAACGCCGCGUGGAGGAUGACGCAUUUCGGUGUGUAAACUCCUUUUAUAAGGGAAGAUAAUGACGGUACCUUAUGAAUAAGCACCGGCUAACUCCGUGCCAGCAGCCGCGGUAAUACGGAGGGUGCAAGCGUUACUCGGAAUCACUGGGCGUAAAGGAUGCGUAGGCUGUGAUAUAAGUCAGAAGUGAAAUCCAACGGCUUAACCGUUGAACUGCUUUUGAAACUGUUUCACUAGAAUAUGGGAGAGGUAGAUGGAAUUGGUGGUGUAGGGGUAAAAUCCGUAGAUAUCACCAGGAAUACCGAUUGCGAAGGCGAUCUACUGGAACAUUAUUGACGCUGAGGCAUGAAAGCGUGGGGAGCAAACA
rnacentral:rRNA from 1 species